GACGAACGCUGGCGGCGUGCCUAAUACAUGCAAGUCGAACGCAGUGGGGACGGGUGAGUAACACGUGGGUAACCUCCCAUCAGAGGGGAUAACACGUGGAAACAGGUGCUAAACCGAUACUGAUGGAUGGACCAGCGUGGCAUUAGCUAGUUGGUGGGGUAAAGGCUCACCAAGGCCACGAUGCAGAGCCGGUCUGAGAGGGUGAUCGGCCACACUGGAACUGAGACACGGCCCAGACUCCUACGGGAGGCAGCAGUAGGGAAUAUUCGGCAAUGGACGAAAGUCUGACCGAGCAACGCCGCGUGAAUGAAGAAGGUUUUCGGAUCGUAAAACUCUGUUGUUAGAGAGGCGGUAUCUACCCAGAAAGCCACGGCUAACUACGUGCCAGCCGCCGCGGUAAUUC
rnacentral:rRNA from 1 species